rnacentral:rRNA from 1 species
CCUGCCAGUGAAUCAUGCUAUUCUUGAAGACUAAGCCAUGCAUGUGCCAAGUUCAAACGUUUAUAUCGUGAGACUGCGGAAGGCUCAGUAUAUCAGUGAUUAUCUGUUUGAUUGUCUAACCUAUGGAUAACCGUGGGAAAUCUAGAGCUAAUACAUGCAGCCAAUGGUCGGGCUUGCUCGGCCAAGCAUUUAUUAGUUUUAACCAAUUACUGCGCAAGCGGUAAGGUGAAUCUAGAUAACUUUGCUGACCGCAUGGCUUUGCCAGCGACGUUUCAAUUGAGUUUCUGCCCUAUCAAUUUGUUGGUAAGGUAUUGGCUUACCAAGGUUGUAACGGGUAACGGGGAAUCAGGGUUCGAUUCCGGAGAGGGAGCUUGAGAAUCGGCUACCACAUCCAAGGAAGGCAGCAGGCGCGCAAAUUACCAAAUCUAGACAGUAGGAGGUGGUGAAGAGAAGUACUAAGUGGUGGUUUUUUACUACCAGCUUGGAAUGGACGUAAUUUAAGCAAUUCGAUGAGUAUCUACUGGAGGGCAAGUCCUGGUGCCAGCAGCCGCGGUAAUUCCAGCUCCAGUGGCGUGAUUUAAAGUUGCUGCGUUUAAAACGCUCGUAGUUGGAUCAUGCGGUAACUGUUUGUAGUCUAUAGCGAACAUUUGGCUGAUUCAGCUGAUGUUCGCAAUAGAUAACAACGCAAACUGUUACUAUUUAAUCGCAAGUAUGUUGAUUGACCUUUACUGAGUUGAUGAUCAUAUUGUGCGGAGUUGUGCCUUGAAUAAAACAGAGUGCUCAAAGCAGGCGAACGCUUGAAUGUUGUAGCAUGGAACGAACAAACGUGUAUUCGCGUGCAUCGUGCGAGGUGAGUGUGCUUCUGGUGCGCUUGCCUUUUUGAUGUAUGCAUCACCCGCCAAAAUACGAUUGUUGGUUAUCGUAUAAGGUGAUGAUUAAAAGGAGCGGUUGGGGGCAUUGGUAUUUGGACGCGAGAGGUGAAAUUCAAAGACCGUCCAAGGACUAACAAAUGCGAAGGCAUCUGUCCAGACCGUAUCCAUUAAUCAAGAACGAAAGUGGGAGGUUCGAAGACGAUUAGAUACCGUCGUAGUUCCCACCGUAAACUAUGCCGACUAGGGAUCAGCUUGGUGAUAUUGCAAGCAUCAAGUUGGUCUCCAAGGGAAACCAUAAGUUUUUCGGUUACGGGGAGAGUAUGGUCGCAAGUCUGAAAUUUAAAGGAAUUGACGGAAGGGCACCACCAGGGGUGGAACCUGCGGCUUAAUUUGACUCAACACGGGGAAACUUACAUGGUCCAGACAUCGAUAGGAUAAACAGACUGAUAGAUCUUUUUUGAUGCGGUGAGUGGUGGUGCAUGGCCGUUCCUAGUUCGUGGAGUGAUCUGUCAGGUUGAUUCCGGUAACGAACGAGACUACAACCUUCAUUUAAGAGGCAAAAGCAGGUUAUGCGAAAGUUGCAUUUCGGUGCAAUUUUCGUGUUUCUGUAAGAAGGAUAUUCAAAUUCGCAGUUGGCUGGGGUAGCGGGCAACCGUCAACUCAGUCAGCUGAUGAAGGCGUGUAUUUUCUCUUUUGUCAAGCAGUCAUGGGGAAACUCAUGACUGACUUAUGGAGGGACUGCUGGUGCUUCAAAACCAGAGGAAGUGUGGCGAUAACAGGUCAGUGAUGCCCUUCGAUGUCCAUGGCUGCACGCGCGUUACAAUGAUAACGUCAGAAAGUAUCUGUUUCGAGAGAAAUGGGUAAUCUUUAAUCGUUAUCGUGAUGGGGAUUGACCGUUGUAAAUCGGUCAUGAAAGAGGAAUCCCGAGUAUAUGCUAUUUAUUAAAUAGUAUAGAUUCAGUCCCUGCCCUUUGUACACACCGCCCGUCGCUACUACCGAGUGAAUGGUGUCAUGAUGCGCUGGGACUGUACUUUGAAGGAAUGGCAACGUUUUUUCAAAGAUGGAAUCAGCGUAGAAUGGCUCGAUUUCGAGGAAGCAAAAGU